UCUUCCUCCAGAGCGAGGACCAGCCCAGCGGUCUGAGCGACCCGGCGGAUCACAGCCGGCUGACGGAGAACGUGGCGAGGGCGUUCUGCGUGGCGCUGUGUCCCCACCUGAAGCUGCUGAAGGAGGACGGCAUGGCCAAGCUGGGCCUGAGGGUCACGCUGGACUCAGACCAGGUGGGUUACCUGGCGGGCAGUAACGGGCAGCCCCUCCCCCCUCGGUACCUGAGCGACCUGGACAGCGCUCUGAUCCCCGUCAUCCACAGCGGGGCCUGCCAGCUGAGCGAGGGCCCCGUCGUCAUGGAGCUCGUCUUCUACAUCCUGGAGAUCGUCUCGUAGGAGCCUCCGAACCCCGUUUGUUUUAUGACGUCACCCCUCCCCUCCCCCUCUCCCUCUCCAGCCGUUUGACCUUGAGGCGGGUCGCAGCAUCUCGUCAGCAUCUCGUCAAAACUAUGCAUCGAGUAGCCAGGUCCCUGAUGAUCACAUGACCCUCAGCUGACAGAAACCCUGACCCCUGCUGGUCCUGUGAGGCGCUGCGAGCAGGACACACACACCUGAGGUCAGACUGUCGAUCAGUGUGUGUCACAGCGCCGUGAACAGUAUCAACUCCCUGGAAGGAUUUUUGGUUUUUACAUCAUUAUAUUUUACACUAAUUAACAGAAAAAUAGGAUUAGUCGGAACUCUACAAAAUCUAAUGACUUCAUUGAAUCAUCCGACCUUAUUUAUGAUUUACUCUGACAGUCGAUUAGAGAAGCAAUACCAUUACUAAACGUAAUAUGCAAAUUGACUUUUCUUUACAAUAUUAUAAGUUAUCAUAACUAAGAUGUCUAAUAAAAAGGUAUUUAACAC